rnacentral:rRNA from 1 species
UACGGAGGGGACUAGCGUUGUUCGGAAUUACUGGGCGUAAAGCGCACGUAGGCGGAUUUGUAAGUCAGGGGUGAAAUCCCGGGGCUCAACCUCGGAACUGCCUUUGAUACUGCAAAUCUCGAGUCCGGAAGAGGUGAGUGGAAUUCCUAGUGUAGAGGUGAAAUUCGUAGAUAUUAGGAAGAACACCAGUGGCGAAGGCGACUAACUGGACAUGUAUUGACGCUGAGGUGCGGAAGCGUGGGGAGCAAACAGG